rnacentral:rRNA from 1 species
AUACGGAGGUGCAAGCGUUAUUCGGAAUCACUGGGCGUAAAGGACGCGUAGGCGGGUUGGCAAGUCAGAUGUGAAAUCCUACAGCUUAACUGUAGAACUGCAUUUGAAACUGCUAACCUAGAGUAUGGGAGGGGGAGAUGGAAUUAGUGGUGUAGGGGUAAAAUCCGUAGAUAUCACUAGGAAUACCGAAAGCGAAGGCGAUCUCCUGGAACAUAACUGACGCUAAGGCGUGAAAGCGUGGGGAGCAAACAGGAUUAGAUACCCUAGUAGUCC